rnacentral:tRNA from 1 species
CGGUGUAUAGCGCAGCCUGGUAGCGCAUCUGGUUUGGGACCAGAGGGUCGCUGGUUCGAGUCCAGCUACACCGACCA